GGACGUAGCUCAGUUGGUAGAGCGCAACCUUGCCAAGGUUGAGGUCGCGAGUUCGAGCCUCGUCGUCCGCU
rnacentral:tRNA from 1 species